rnacentral:rRNA from 1 species
AUGGGUAGAAUCAAUGUCAACCCUAUUUGGGGGAAGAUUUGGAAAUUGUCUUGUCCGGCAAAGGUAAAAAUCUUUAUUUGGCGUACAUUGCAUGGUACCCUCCCAUGCCGCGUUACACUGGCCAAUAUACACAUGAAGGUCUCACCCAUAUGCCCCUCAUGCACGAAUGAAUCGAAAAACACAACACACGUAUUGUUCCUCUGUCAGAAGGCAAAAGAGGUUUGGAACAAACUGGGGAUGUGCGGGGUGAUUAAAGAAGCAUGUGUUAUUGAUAGGACAGGAGAAGCAAUCCUAGAAUUUUUACUUUUGAAGCCAGAUAAUGAAAUAGCUACUAUGGGAAUCCAGAAUGUACGUGAACUAAUAGCUAUAACCGCUUGGUAUUUAUGGUGGGAUAGAUGUAGGCUAGUUCAUGAAGGUAAGGCUCAAAACGCACAACAAUCCUCCAUGGGGAUUAGGGCAAUAACAACAAACUAUGUAAAUGCCCAUUCCCCUAAUGCAUCUAUUAAAAAGGGAGGAUGGACCAAACCUCCCGUGGGACUUGUUAAGCUGAAUGUUGAUGCUUCGUUUGAUCAUGACCGGUUAGUGGUAUAG